AUUUUCACUGGAAAGUCUUAAUCGAUUAAUUUGCGGAGAACUGAGAAACCUCUGGCAUCUUGCAAGGUCCUUAUUACCACUGAUCUCUUUUAACCCCCAAUAUACUAUUUUUGAUAUUUAUUAUGAAAAGAAAGAAAAAAAGAAAAGAUCCAGCAAACCGGUGGAGACAUUCCCUUUGAACUUCCUGGGAGCUGCUACUGAAUAAGAUGGCUCUAAAAUGUCACACAUACCUGAUAACUAAUUAUAGUGGAAUCUCAGAAUCUCAGCAUUACUUCUGGAUGGCAACAUAAUCUGGAAUUGGAGGUGUUCCUGGUGCAUCUCACUACUGGUA